rfam:Laetiporus sulphureus 93-53 unplaced genomic scaffold LAESTscaffold_59, whole genome shotgun sequence.
UGCCCCAUGGCUGAGUUGGUUACAGCGUCCGACUGUUACGGUCCAACUUUGGUUGCUUACAUACUAUCGGAAGGUCGAGAGUUCGAGCCUCUCUGGGGCAG